AGCGAACGCUGGCGGCAGGCCUAGCACAUGCAAGUCGAACGAAGUCUUCGGACUUAGUGGCGGACGGGUGAGUAACACGUGGGAACGUGCCUUUAGGUUCGGAAUAACUCAGGGAAACUUGUGCUAAUACCGAAUGUGCCCUUCGGGGGAAAGAUUUAUCGCCUUUAGAGCGGCCCGCGUCUGAUUAGCUAGUUGGUGAGGUAAAGGCUCACCAAGGCUACGAUCAGUAGCUGGUCUGAGAGGAUGACCAGCCACAUUGGGACUGAGACACGGCCCAAACUCCUACGGGAGGCAGCAGUGGGGAAUUUUGCGCAAUGGGCGAAAGCCUGACGCAGCCAUGCCGCGUGGAUGAUGAAGGUCUUAGGAUUGUAAAAUCCUUUCACCGGUGAAGAUAAUGACUGUAGCCGGAGAAGAAGCCCCGGCUAACUUCGUGCCAGCCGCCGCCGUAAUAC
rnacentral:rRNA from 1 species